CAGGGGGGAAAUGGCGGGAAAAGGCAGGGGGAUGGCGGGAAAAGGGAGGAUGGCGGGGAAAAGGGGGGAAAUGGCGGGAAAAAUGGGGGAUAUGGCGGGAAAAGUGGGAGGGAGGAAGAGGAGGCGGAGAGGAAGAGAAAGGAGGAGGAAAAUGAGGCAAAAAUGGGGGAAAAUGGGACAAAAGUGAGGAAAAUGGAGGGGGAGGAGGAAGAGGAGGGAGGGGAGGAGGAAGGGAGGAAAAAUGGGGGGAAAAUGGGGGAAAAAGGGGAAAAAAUGGGGAAAAAAUGGGGGGAAAAAUCGAAAUUUGAGAGCGAGGAAGUGGAGGAGGAAGAGGAGGAGGAAGAUGAGGAGGAAGAAGAGGAAGAUCAAGGCAAGAAAAAUGGGAAAAAAACAGGAAAAAUCGAGGAAAAAAGGCCAAAAAUGACCCAAAAAUCGACCAAAAAAUCCAAAUUUGAGAGUGAGGAAGAGGAGGAGGAAGACGAGGAGGAAGAAGAGGAAGAUCCACGGAAGAAAAAUGGGAAAAAAAUGGGAAAAAUCGAGAAAAAAACACCAAAAAUGACCCAAAAAUCGACCAAAAAAUUGAAAUUUGAGAGCGAGGAAGAGGAGGAGGAAGAAAAAACCUCCAAAAUGGCCCAAAAAUCCCCGAAAUUGCCCCAAAAAUCGUCGGCGUCGGGUUCGGAGGAUUCCGAGGAUUUGCCGCUGGCGAAAUGGGCGGAAAAACGGCGAAAACGGGAGCGGGAGGAAGAGCGGGGAGGGAGGAAGAGGAAGAGGAAGGAGGAGGAGGAGGAGACCUGGUGGAAGCCCUGGAAGGUGAAAAUUUGGGGGAAAUUUGGGGGAUUUGGGGAAAAUUUGGGUUUUUUUAGGGGAAAAUUGGGAAAAAAUUGGGAAAAAAUUGGAUUUUUUGGGGGAAAAUUGAGGGGAAAAAAUGGGGUUUUUGGGGGGAGUUUGGGAAAAAUUUGGGAAAAAUUUGGAUUUUUUUGGGGGGGAAAUGUGGGGAAAUUGGGAUUUUUGGGGGGAAAUUUGGGGUUUUUGGGAAAAAUGUGGGGAAAUUUGGGGUUUUUGGGGGGAAAUUUGGGGUUUUUUGGGAAAAAUGUGGGGAAAUUGGGAUUUUUGGGGGAAAAUUUGGGUUUUUUUGGGGAAAAAUGUGGAAAAUCGGGAUUUUUUUGGGGGGGAAAUGGGGAAAUUGGGAUUUUUGGGGAUAAUUGGAGGGAAUUUGGGUUUCUUUGGGAAAACUUGGGGAAAAUAGGGAUUUUUGGGUCAAUUUGGGGGGAAAUUGGGAUUUUUGGGGAGUUUUGGGGAAAAUUUGGGGAUUUUGGAAAAAAAAUUGGAUUUUUUGGGGAAAAAAUGUGGGGAAAUUGUGGAUUUUGGGGGGAAAAUUGGAUGGAAUGUGGGGUUUUUUGGGAAGAUUUGGGGGGGGUUGGGAAAAAUGAGAAAAAAAUUGGGGGUUUUUGGGAAAUUUGGGUUUUUCUCUGGGGGAAAUUGGGAAAAAUUUGGAAAAAAAUGGGGUUUUUGGGGGAAAUUUGGGAAAAUUUUGGGGGGAUUUUGGGAAAAAUUUAGAUUUUUU
rnacentral:lncRNA from 1 species